UCGGGAAUUUUGGGCAAUGGGCGAAAGCCUGACCCAGCAACGCCGCGUGAAGGAUGAAGUAUUUCGGUAUGUAAACUUCGUAAGAAUAGGAAGAAUAAAUGACGGUACUAUUUGUAAGGUCCGGCUAACUACGUGCCAGCAGCCGCGGUAAUACGUAGGGACCAAGCGUUGUUCGGAUUUACUGGGCGUAAAGGGCGCGUAGGCGGUGUGUCAAGUCAGUUGUGAAAUCUCCGAGCUUAACUCGGAACGGUCAACUGAUACUGUCACACUAGAGUACAGAAGGGGCAAUCGGAAUUCUUGGUGUAGCGGUGAAAUGCGUAGAUAUCAAGAGGAACACCUGAGGCGAAGGCGGGUUGCUGGGCUGAUACUGACGCUGAGGCGCGAAAGCUAGGGUAGCAAACGGGAUUAGAUACCCGUGUAGUCCCUGAGCGGGCUGGCA
rnacentral:rRNA from 1 species